UACGGGAGGCAGCAGUGGGGAAUAUUGGACAACGGGCGCAAGCCUGAUCCAGCAAUGCCGCGUGUGUGAAGAAGGCCCGAGGGUUGUAAAGCACUUUCAAUCGUGAAGAAGGGCAUAAAGUUAAUGGCUUUGUGCAUUGACGUUAACGAUAGAAGAAGCACCGGCUAACUCUGUGCCAGCGACCGCGGUAAU
rnacentral:rRNA from 1 species